AAGACACUAGUAAAAUUUAAUUACAUGGCCUUGUCAGGGCCAGGUUGUGAGCUAGCUCCUCACGUGUCUUA
rnacentral:tRNA from 1 species